rnacentral:tRNA from 1 species
UUUAUGAUAGUUUAAUUAAAAACAUUAUAUUUUCAAUAUAAAAUUAAUUUCUUUUUCAUAAAU